AUCGCUUCUUGGCCUUUUGGCUAAGAUCAAGUGUAGUAUCUGUUCUUAUCAACUUAAUAUCUGAUCCGUCCUCUAUCCGAGGACAACACAUUAAAUGGAUAUUUGGAACAGGGGAUGGAAAAGGGGCCUGCUCCGUCCACUCCACGCAUCGACCUGGUAUUGCAGUAGCUCCAGGAACGGUGCACUCCUC
rnacentral:snRNA from 1 species